rnacentral:rRNA from 1 species
AUUGAACGCUGGCGGAAUGCUUUACACAUGCAAGUCGAGCGGCAGCGCGGCCUUCGGGCUGGCGGCGAGCGGCGAACGGGUGAGUAAUGCAUCGGAACAUGCCCAGUCGUGGGGGAUAACACUUCGGAAGAAGUUCUAAUACCGCAUACGUCCUGAGGGGGAAAGCGGGGGAUCGCAAGACCUCGCGCGAUUGGAGUGGCCGAUGUCAGAUUAGCUAGUUGGUGGGGUAAAGGCCUACCAAGGCGACGAUCUGUAGCUGGUCUGAGAGGAUGAUCAGCCACACUGGGACUGAGACACGGCCCAGACUCCUACGGGAGGCAGCAGUGGGGAAUUUUGGACAAUGGGGGCAACCCUGAUCCAGCCAUUCCGCGUGAGUGAAGAAGGCCUUCGGGUUGUAAAGCUCUUUCGGCAGGAACGAAACGGUGGGCUCUAACAUAGUCCGCUAAUGACGGUACCUGAAGAAGAAGCAACGGCUAACUACGUG